rnacentral:rRNA from 1 species
UAGGGAAUCUUCGGCAAUGGGGGGAACCCUGACCGAGCAACGCCGCGUGAGUGAUGAAGGUCUUCGGAUCGUAAAACUCUGUUAUUAGGGAAGAACAAAUGUGUAAGUAACUAUGCACAUCUUGACGGUACCUAAUCAGAAAGCCACGGCUAACUACGUGCCAGCAGCCGCGGUAAUACGUAGGUGGCAAGCGUUAUCCGGAAUUAUUGGGCGUAAAGCGCGCGUAGGCGGUUUUUUAAGUCUGAUGUGAAAGCCCACGGCUCAACCGUGGAGGGUCAUUGGAAACUGGAAAACUUGAGUGCAGAAGAGGAAAGUGGAAUUCCAUGUGUAGCGGUGAAAUGCGCAGAGAUAUGGAGGAACACCAGUGGCGAAGGCGACUUUCUGGUCUGUAACUGACGCUGAUGUGCGAAAGCGUGGGGAUCAAACAGG